rnacentral:rRNA from 1 species
AUUGAACGCUGGCGGAAUGCUUUACACAUGCAAGUCGAACGGUAGAGGGGGCAACCCCUUGAGAGUGGCGAACGGGUGAGUAAUAUAUCGGAACGUGCCCAGUCGUGGGGGAUAACGUAGCGAAAGUUACGCUAAUACCGCAUACGAUCUAAGGAUGAAAGCGGGGGAUCGCAAGACCUCGCGCGAUUGGAGCGGCCGAUAUCAGAUUAGGUAGUUGGUGAGGUAAAGGCUCACCAAGCCAACGAUCUGUAGCUGGUCUGAGAGGACGACCAGCCACACUGGAACUGAGACACGGUCCAGACUCCUACGGGAGGCAGCAGUGGGGAAUUUUGGGACAAUGGGCGAAAGCCUGAUCCAGCCAUUCCGCGUGCAGGAUGAAGGCC